rnacentral:misc_RNA from 1 species
GAAUGAAGAACGUAGCGAAAUGCGAUAAGUAAUGUGAAUUGCAGAAUUCAGUGAAUCAUCGAAUCUUUGAACGCACCUUGCGCUCCUUGGUAUUCCGAGGAGCAUGCCUGUUUGAGUGUCAUUUAAAUUCCUCAACCACACAAGUUGUCGAAAACAAUCUGUGUGGCUUGGAUUAUGGGAUUUUGCAGGCUUGUCACCAAAGUCAGCUGUCCUUAAAUGCAUUAGCAAAGCUUCUUGUUGCCCAUCUCUGGUGUGAUAGUUAUCUACGCCAAUGAGAUACUUCAUUAUGUGAAGCUCGGCUUCUAAUCGUCUUUGAGACAAAACUUGACAAAUUUGACCUCAAAUCAGGUAGGAUUACCCGCUGAACUUAAGCAUAUCAAUAAGCGGAGGA